rnacentral:rRNA from 1 species
UACGGAGGAUGCAAGCGUUAUCCGGAUUUAUUGGGUUUAAAGGGUCCGCAGGCGGGCCAGUCAGUCAGUGGUGAAAUCCCAUCGCUUAACGAUGGAACUGCCAUUGAUACUGCUGGUCUUGAGUCUAGUUGACGUAGGCGGAAUGUGACAUGUAGCGGUGAAAUGCAUAGAUAUGUCACAGAACACCGAUUGCGAAGGCAGCUUACGAAACUACGACUGACGCUCAUGGACGAAAGCGUGGGUAGCGAACAGG